rnacentral:rRNA from 1 species
UACGAAGGUCCCAAGCGUUAUCCGGAUUUAUUGGGUUUAAAGGGUGCGUAGGCGGUCUAUUAAGUCAGUGGUGAAAGCCCCAAGCUCAACUUGGGAACUGCCAUUGAUACUGAUGGACUUGAGUACAUUUGAGGUGGGCGGAAUGUGUCAUGUAGCGGUGAAAUGCUUAGAUAUGACACAGAACACCGAUUGCGAAGGCAGCUGGCUACGACG